rnacentral:rRNA from 1 species
GUUAGGAAUAUUGGACAAUGGGCGAAAGCCUGAUCCAGCCAUGCCGCGUGAACGAUGAAGGCCUUCGGGUUGUAAAGUUCUUUAGCCGAUGAUUAUAAUGACUGUAGUCGGAAAAUAAGCCCCGGCUAACUUCGUGCCAGCAGCCGCGGUAAUACGAAGGGGGCGAGCGUUAUUCGGAAUCACUGGGCGUAAAGCGUGCGUAGGCGGCUUUGCAAGUUGGGAGUGAAAGCCCAGGGCUCAACCCUGGAAUUGCUCUCAAAACUGCAAGGCUCGAAUUCGGGAGAGGAUAGCGGAAUUGUCAGUGUAGCAGUGAAAUGCGUAGAUAUUGACAGGAACACCAGUGGCGUAAGCGGCUAUCUGGACCGAUAUUGACGCUGAGGCACGAAAGCGUGGGGAUCAAACAGGAUUAGAUACCCGUGUAGUCC